rnacentral:lncRNA from 1 species
CAUAGCCUUGAGUCCUCAAAUUUGGAACAUACGAAAGAAGUGUUAAGUUAGGAUGCUUUUCAGAAACAUACAUAGCAUAAAACCCAUAAGUCUAUGAACGUAAAGUUCUUUGUUUCGCCAACUGCUUAAAGAAACUCUUGGAAAUUUCUGCAGGACAGAAGAAGCCAAUGUUUCCAGGGAUGGCAUGGGAUGAAAUGCAAACAGCAGGAAUGGAAGUGGAUGGAGGGAAGAGGAAUGGUAACUGUUAGAAUGUAAAUGAAAGAAGCCCCAAACCAUCAAAUUUGGCAGAGAACAGUCAACACCCAGGAGAAGUGCAUGCAAAUGCAUGGCUUGGAGACAAAAUGGCAGCGAAUUUCCAAGAGGGCAAGAAACCAGUAAUCCUAAAGACCUAUCAAAGUAGAGGGAUCUCAGAAACUUACCGAACCUUUUCUUACGUUCCUCUGAAAAAAAAAUAGCAAAGUCCAAUGUCAAUUUCACAGGAUGGAAACAUGAAAACAACUUCAAAUUUCUUAAAAUUCAGUGUCUAAAAUUAUCACUUUGAAGGUGUAACUGACCUCACUCUCAGAAACACACUCACAGACACACACACAGAAAGAGACAUACACAGUGGCACAGGUAAACAGCAGAAUACAUCACAGGAACUUACCUUUGUCCUGUUCAGUCUCCGCUAAAAAGUAAAGAAAGAAAGGAACAAUUUAUUGCAAAGGAAGGUACAAUGCAAGGAUGUGAGGAGCACGGACAUUUGAAACCCUUUUAUAGUAUACUCUGUGAUGCAAAUUGACCCAUAUUUGUGAGAAUCAGAACCUCAAGUUUUCAAAGGACAUCUCACCCAUCAGAGACAUAUAGUUGUUUACCAUCCCUCCAUUCCUUGGUGCAAAAGGAAUUAAGAUAGGAAAGGAAACCAUGAGAGGAGGAACGAUAGGACUUCCUCUACAAUUAGCAAUAUCAAUCCGUCCUCUUCUGUCAGACUGACACAUUUUUCAGAACACGAUGCAGACAUGCACAACUACUUGAGACAGGGACUCCAAAAGUGAUGAGGAAGGAGACAGCAAAGGGACCCAUCUGUCCCAAUCUCUAUCUGGACCAGUAGUCAUAUGACACGUGCUGUGUACAUUGAAGAGAUAAAUUUCCAAAUUCCAUUGCAAAGUAAACAAGAGUAUAACUGGAAAACGUCAUUGGAAAAGGAGGACGUAAAAAUGUAAGGAUUCUAUUACGUGUCCUUUGGGAAUCAAGCCAGGACAAUAGCUGCCUGUGUUGUUACAGAACACAUUCAGAAUUGAGAUACAUUGUUCGUUGAACCUUCCGUAGGUCAUACAAUCCUUCUACCAAUAUUAGAAGAAAUUGCAGCUUGUCGAUUUGAUCAUUGUGGCAAUAAAAAUGCCAAAGAAUACAGAGCGAUCAGUGUGGCCGGACAUUUAUUAACUUAGGAGAAAAUAUGUAAUGUAUGUAGAUGCAUGGGAACACUUGG